rnacentral:piRNA from 1 species
UCCCUUGACGUUGCUAGAUUUUUCAUCC